UAAGUAACGUUAGUCAGCUAAUCCUACUUACGUUUGUAACACUUUAUUAAAAAGUUAAUAAUUAUUAAGCAUUUUCUAACAAUUGUCUUUGUAUUUUACGUCAUAUUCAACAAGUUUCGUAGCUUAAUCGAAGUCACCUGAAGGACGGCUUUCCUCAGCAACGGCAAGACCCGCACUCCUCUCAUAUUGUGAAGUUUAACAAGUUUCGCGGCUCAAACAAGAGGCACCUGUCACUGAAGGACUGCUUUUCUCAGCAACGACGUGAACAGCAUUACUCGAAUUUCCUGGUUCAGCUGAUCUACCCGUCUUCGUACAAGCAGAGUUGGCAGAGGAGGUCAUAAAAAUCUACAUCCUUCGGAACAAUAAUGGGGCAGUCAGCGACGUAAUCUUGGGAAUCUCAGCAGAGCCUGCUGCCAUCUUUCAGGAGUCACAUUGGAUUUGAGAUAUCCCAAGACCCACAAAUACAGGUCCUUCUCCAAAAAUUAGCAUAUUGUGAUGAAGUUCAUUAUUUUCCAUAAUGUAAUGAUAAAAAUUAAACUUUCAUAUAUUUUAGAUUCAUUGCACACCAACUGAAAUAUUUCAGGUCUUUUAUUGUUUAAAUACUGAUGCUUUUGGCAUACAGCUCAUGAAAACCAUAAAUUCCUAUCUCAAAAAAAUAGCUUAUUUCAUCUGACCAAUAAAAGAAAAGUGUUUUUAAUACAAAAAAGUCAACCUUCAAAUAAUUGUUCACUUAUGCACUCAAUACUUGGUGGGGAAUCCUUUUGCAGAAAUGACUGCUUCAAUGCGGCGUGGCAUGGAGACAAUCAGCCUGUGGCACUGCUGAGGUGUUAUGGAGGCCCAGGAUGCUUCGAUAGCGGCCUUAAGCUCAUCCAGAGUGUUUUGUCUUGCGUCUCUUAACUUUCUCUUCACAAUAUCCCACAGAUUCUCUAUGGGGUUCAGGUCAGGAGAGUUGGUAGGCCAAUUGAGCACAGUAAUACCAUGGUCAGUAAACCAUUUACCAGUGUGAGCAGGUGCCAGGUCGUGCUGAAAAGCGAAAUCUUCAUCUCCAUAAAGCUUUUCAACAGAUGGAAACAUUAAGUGCUCCCAAAUCUCCUGAUAGCUAGCUGCAUUGACCUUGCCCUUGAUAAAACACAGUGGACCAACACCAGCAGCUGACAUGUCACCCCAGACCAUCACUGACUGUGGGUACUUGACACUGGACUUCAGGCAUUUUGGCAUUUCCUUCUCCCCAGUCUUCCUCCAGACUCUGGCACCUUGAUUUCCAAAUGACAUGCAAAAUUAGCUUUCAUCCGAAAAAAGUACUUUGGACCACUGAGCAACAGUCCAGUGCUGCUUCUCUGUAGCCCAUUUCUUGCACACGCCUGUGCAUGGUGGCUCUGGAUGUUUCUACUCCAGACUCAGUCCACAAUCUUCCUCGGGGUCCGGUCACCUCUUCUCGUUGUGAAGCGUUUUUUGCCACACUUUUUCCUUCCCACAGACUUCCCACUGAGGUGCCUUGAUACAGCACUCUGGGAACAGCCUAUUCGUUCAGAAAUUUCUUUCUGUGUCUUAUCUUCUCGCUUGAGGGUGUCAAUGAUGGCCUUCUGGACAGCAGUCAGGUCGGCAGUCUUACCCAUGAUUACGGUUUUGAGUAAUGAACCAGGCUGGGAGUUUUUAAAAGCCUCAGGAAUCUUUUGCAGGUGUUUAGAGUUAAUUAGUUGA